UACGGAGGGUGCAAGCGUUUAAUCGGAAUUACUGGGCGUAAAGCGUGCGUAGGUGGUUGAAUAAGUUAUCUGUGAAAUCCCCGGGCUCAACCCUGGGCAGGUCAGAUGAUACUGUUUAACUCGAGUAUGGGAGAGGGUAGUGGAAUUUCCGGUGUAGCGGUGAAAUGCGUAGAGAUCGGAAGGAACACCAGUGGCGAAGGCGGCUACCUGGCCUAAUACUGACACUGAGGCGCGAAAAGCCAGGGGAGCAAACGGGG
rnacentral:rRNA from 1 species